GAUUGAAGGGGGCUGCUCCUAGUACGAGAGGACCGGAGUGGACGAACCUCUGGUGUUCGGGUUGUGUCGCCAGACGCAUUGCCCGGUAGCUAAGUUCGGAAUCGAUAACCGCUGAAAGCAUCUAAGCGGGAAGCGAGCCCUGAGAUGAGUCUUCCCUGAUACUUUAAGUAUCCUAAAGGGUUGUUCGAGACUAGAACGUUGAUAGGCAGGGUGUGUAAGCGUUGUGAGGCGUUGAGCUAACCUGUACUAAUUGCCCGUGAGGCUUAACCAUACAACACCCAAGGGGUUU
rnacentral:rRNA from 1 species